GAGUUUGAUCUUGGCUCAGAACGAACGCUGGCGGCAGGCCUCAAACAUGCAAGUCUAGGGGGUGUAGCAAUACAUCACCGGCGGACGGGUGCGUAACACGUGGGAAUGUACCUAUUGGUUCGGAACAACGCAGGGAAACUUGCGCUAAUACCGAAUGUGCCCUUCGGGGAAGAUUUAUCGCCAAUGGAUCAGCCCGCGUCCGAUUAGCUAGUUGGUGAGGUAACGGCUCACCAAGGCGACGAUCGGUAGCUGUUCUGAGAGGAAGAUCAGCCACACUGGGACUGAGACACGGCCCAGACUCCUACGGGAGGCAGCAGUUGGGAUCUUGGACAAUGGGGGAAACCCUGAUCCAGCCAUGCCGCGUGAGUGAUGAAGGCCUUCGGUUGUAAACUCUUUCGACGGGGACGAUAAUGACGGUACCCGUAGAAGAAGCUCCGGCUAACUUCGUGCCAGCAGCC
rnacentral:rRNA from 1 species